AUUGAACGCUGGCGGCAUGCCUUACACAUGCAAGUCGAACGGUAACAGGGAGCUUGCUCCGCUGACGAGUGGCGAACGGGUGAGUAAUAUAUCGGAACGUACCUUUGAGUGGGGGAUAACUAGUCGAAAGAUUAGCUAAUACCGCAUACGAUCUACGGAUGAAAGUGGGGGAUCGCAAGACCUCAUGCUCAUAGAGCGGCCGAUAUCUGAUUAGCUAGUUGGUGAGGUAAAGGCUCACCAAGGCUUCGAUCAGUAGCUGGUCUGAGAGGACGACCAGCCACACUGGGACUGAGACACGGCCCAGACUCCUACGGGAGGCAGCAGUGGGGAAUUUUGGACAAUGGGGGCAACCCUGAUCCAGCAAUGCCGCGUGAGUGAAGAAGGC
rnacentral:rRNA from 1 species